UGCAAAAAUACAUAAGCACAGAUGGAUG
rnacentral:piRNA from 1 species